UGGGGAAUUUUGGACAAUGGGGGCAACCCUGAUCCAGCCAUGCCGCGUGCGGGAAGAAGGCCUUCGGGUUGUAAACCGCUUUUAGCCGGGAAGAAAAGGCGCAAGACAAUACCUUGCGUUCUUGACGGUACCGGCGGAAUAAGCACCGGCUAACUACGUGCCAGCAGCCGCGGUAAUACGUAGGGUGCGAGCGUUAAUCGGAAUUACUGGGCGUAAAGCGUGCGCAGGCGGUUCGUUAAGUCAGAUGUGAAAGCCCCGGGCUCAACCUGGGAACUUCAUUUGAAACUGGCGGGCUUGAAUGCGGCAGAGGGGGGUGGAAUUCCGCGUGUAGCAGUGAAAUGCGUAGAGAUGCGGAGGAACACCGAUGGCGAAGGCAGCCCCCUGGGCCGACAUUGACGCUCAGGCACGAAAGCGUGGGGAGCAAACAGA
rnacentral:rRNA from 1 species